UGAUCCUGAAAAUAUUGAGAUUCUAUCAAAAAGUUCUAGCGGUUAUGAAAAAAGUUCUCUAUAUUUCCCUAUGAAAAAUGCUUUAGGUGAUGGAUUAUUUACUGCACCAGCAUCAAUAUGGGACAUUCAUCGAACAAUCUUAAAUCCAGUAUUCAAAGAAGUUUCGACUUAUAUGGACUCAAUGAUAAAAAAUCAAACAGACUAGCUAAUAUUUUAGAAACUACAAACGGAAAAAACGUAGACAUUAUGCAUUACGUACAUUUAUGUACGCUGG
rnacentral:lncRNA from 1 species